GUUGCUAACGCGUGAAGGCGAGCACUCUAGACGAACUGCCGUUGACAAAACGGAGGAAGGUGGGAUGACGUCAAAUCAUCAUGCCCUUAUGUUCUGGGCUACACACGUGCUACAAUGGCCGGUACAGACGGACGCAAAGCCGCGAGGCGGAGCAAAUCCGAAAAAGACCGGUCUCAGUUCGGAUUGCAGGCUGCAAUUCGCCUGCAUGAAGUCGGAAUCGCUAGUAAUCGCAGGUCAGCAUACUGCGGUGAAUACGUUCCCGGGCCCU
rnacentral:rRNA from 1 species